CUUUUAUUUUGGACUCUGGCAGCAGGGCAGAGAGGCUCCAGGAAGUGCAGCACCCAAAUAUCCUUUCAGGUGGCAGGAGGACAGCUGGAACCCCUGGCACCACAAGUGUUCUCAGCUUAAUGAAGAAUGAUACAGAUGAAGGGAAGCUGGGGAAAAGAACUCACCCCUUUUGCAUACCUACCCUGCUCCAGGUGCUCUGCAUCUGCCACCGUGCAGAUUGUUACAGCAACUCACCAGACCACAACUUGCAGCUCACAACACAACAGGAAGCUUAAAGAUGCUUUGCUUGCUAAAGUGGAAGGCUGAAAGGAGCAGAACCAGAAGAGUGCUGGAGAGAUGGAUGUGGGUGGCGUUUGUUUUAUGUACUUACAAAAGAAGAGCUGCAAGUAGCAUAUGAAUCUCCGGUUCAAUUAGACAAACUUGUAGAGAAGAAAAAGAACUUCCUCAAGAAACUGACCACCACCCUGGAGUGGUUAAGAAUUGACCACUCAACAACGCUGGAUUAUAGCAAAUAAAUUUUCACGUUAGAUUGUUAAAAAAAAAUAGUGAACCCUUACACAGCAUUUGUUAUGUGUCAUGAGUUUUUCUGAGUUUUUCAUAUAAUAGCACAGUUAAUCUGUAUCAAAUCUUUGAGUUAGGUACUGUAUAUGAUCUCUAUUUUAUAAAUGCAGUAACGGU
rnacentral:lncRNA from 10 species